GUGUGUUUGCACCUUUACAUUUAUAAAAAACAAAAUAUUCUCAAGUUUCACAUAAAAUUUAUUUUGUCGAAAAAAAAAAAUCGCACACACACAUUACAAUUCAGUUGACUAAGCCAAACAAUAUUUAUGAAAAAUGAAGAUAAUUUUCUUAGUAUGUGCUUUUGUGCCACUAUUUGUUACUCCACUAAAGUGUGAAGAUUAUGAAAAUAUUUAUACUCCAGUGUUAGUUACCGAUUUAUCGCGAUUCUGCUUUAAUGCAGCCAUUCUACUUGCGGAAGGAGACACUAAGUGCAACGGAGCUAUAAUCUCUUCCACAAAAAUUGUUACAUCUUACAAAUGUAUGAUACAUUUUGAUGAACAUCACAGUAUGUAUUUGCCUUUUUCGAAAAAUAUUUCGGUUCGAGUCGGUUCAACAGAAAGAUUAAGUGGUGGAAUAAUAAGACAUGUGGAUAAUGUUCGGCGCAUUUCCUUUCCGCUUGAUGAUAUUACUCUUCGUAGGUAUCCAAAUAUACAACAUGCUAUUAAUGAUUUGGCUGUGCUUUCAUUUAAGAAACCAUUACCACUUGGGCCAACGAUUUGUCCAAUACGGUUGGCUGAAAAGAAAGAUGACAUUUACAUAAAAGAAGGAUCCCUCGUAGAAAUGAGCGGAUAUAAUACACAUAGAUUCCGCAAUAUCACGGAAUUAAGAUCUUUAACGUCGCAAAUAAUAGAGAUCAACAACAAAUGUCCAACUUUUCACAUAGAGGAAAGAUUUACCAUGUGUUCCAUGGAAGGUGCUCCUGUGAUUCUUAGACAAAAAUCAAAUUCAUCAACUACUAUGGAAGAACCAUUACUAUUAGGAAUUAGUGCAAAAGGUAGGAGGAUUACAGUAGAUCGUAACGAAAUUGUAAAAAUGUCGGCAUUUUCCAAAUGUUUAAUGGUAAGAUAACGAGAAAAUGUGCUUCACUGUUGCUUCCAGAUGCUGAAAUACCAUUCAAUAUUUAAAUUUAAUAAGUAAAUUAGCACUAGUGAUAUUUAGAGACAAAGAUAUGGUACCGUUUCUACUUGGAGUUAACGCCAGGAGACUCUUAAAGAACGUUACCCAUGAACCACUAGUUGAAACAAGCACCAGAAUCAAAGACUAUGUAGAUAGGAUUAAAUCUUUCUUCAAUCGUGAAGAAACAAAUGACAUCAUCCGAAGUAAUAAUCGCGAAAUUCAAAUUAUAGAUGCCUAUUAGUAUCGAUGCAGAAGAAUGUGAAUGAUUUCCAAUGUUUUGACGAUGAUUCAUUUCAUUAAAUCCAUAUCGAUCGCGUUAUCACACAUACGUUUGAGUCGGUUAAAAUGAUUCGUAAAAUUUUGUUAUUUUUUUUAUUUGUUUCUUCAUUUGGCAAAUAGAUCGCAUAUAUAAGUGCUUUUUGAAAUUCAUUUUGCUUAUACCUUUAUUUUUUUCUCUAAUGAAUUUGAAUUUUUUUUUU